rnacentral:rRNA from 1 species
GCUUACGGCCAAUACCACUCUGAACACGCUGCCGAUUCGUCCGAUCUCGGGAAGCUAAGCAGGGUCGGGCCUGGUUAGUACUUGGAUGGGAGACCGCCUGGGAAUACCAGGUGCUGUAAGCU